GAGAUUUGGGAGGCUUGGGGAAGGGGGAUGAUCAUUUCUCAACCUUUAAACAUGUAUCACCAAUCUUUUACAAAUUCAAAAUAUAACAACUCUCAUAUAGAGAAUAUAUCGAAUCAAGCUAAAAAGAGAAAGAAAGACUCUCAACCUCAUACUUGAAUUGCCAAUGGCCGUAAUGCAUCUCAUUGUAGAAGAUAAUAAAAGGCCAUGCAUGAGCAAAAUAUUAACCUAAAUGCCAAACAUAACAUCAAAUAUUUUGGACACUAGAGACUUGGUUGGGGAAGCAAUGGC
rnacentral:misc_RNA from 1 species